UACGGGGGGGGCAAGCGUUGUUCGGAAUUACUGGGCGUAAAGGGCUCGUAGGCGGCCAACUAAGUCGGAUGUGAAAUCCCCAGGCUUAACCUGGGAACUGCAUCCGAUACUGGAUGGCUUGAAUCCGGGAGAGGGAUGCAGAAUUCCAGGUGUAGCGGUGAAAUGCGUAGAUAUCUGGAGGAACACCGGUGGCGAAGGCGGCAUCCUGGACCGACACUGACACUGAGGAGCGAAAGCCAGGGGAGCAAACGGG
rnacentral:rRNA from 1 species